UUUUAGGUAAGUAACAAGUUCUUAUAGGGAUAUAACAUUCUCUAUGUGCAGGAUGGCUUUACUUUGGCUUGGAGAUACAAUACUGCCACUACGUUAUCAUACGGCUGCGUCACUUCACUUACAGAGUCUCUUUAUAUGUUGGAGCUAGCAGACUCUUUUCUGGUUCCAUGGACAAUUCUCUAAAUCAAAACAGUUCAUGCCAAUGAAAUUUCAGGUAAUAGAUUCUGAUAGAUUCUGAUUUCAGUUGUUCGACCUUCAAUGGUGCCUAUCUUGAGAAAGCAGUUGCAUACAAAGAUAAUUUCUCAGGUAGUCUCUCUCAGUUGUACCAUCACGUAGCCUUCGUGUUGUUGUGACACUGGGUUAUGUGUAUCGUGUUUAAUAAAUCUCAAAUGUUUUCUCUUUAGUAUGAAACUAGAGUGAGUAGUGAAGGCCAGUUAUGAAAUCACUAUGACCAGUAGAUACUAGAUAGUUAUCAUUUUUGCUUUAGUUUAAAACUAUGUUGUAUCUUGAUAGCUAACUCCAAGUUUAGCUAUCUAUGAUACAAUGAAGAGCUUGAAAAGUCCGGUUGGGACACAUUGUGUUAGGCUUGCCUAAAACCUUGCAGGUUUUCUUCUUGCUGCCGCUGAAAAGGUACUCUUUAUUUCACUUUCUUUUAAAGCAUGUGGAAACCAAAUUGAUCUUAUAUGCUAGCUAGACUCUAAGGAACUUGAAGUUGAAUUAUUGUUUUCUGUGAAAGGGUCAACAGUUUGUGAUGCCAUUGUUAAGGAUCGCUCUCCAGUCACCUGCUGGUGCAGCUCGUGGUCAGCUGGUGCAGCUAUAAGCCGCUUAUCUCUAUGGACUAUAAAAAAUAUUUUUCCUCUCUUAUAGUAACAUGGUAAAGCUAUAUAUACACUUGCAAAAUUCUUUCUGGCUGAUGAUAUUCAAAAUGAAGAGCUUUCAAGGAUAAGAGAUUACCUCUUCAACUAACUAGCCAAAAAUACAGGACAGCCUGCGGAAAAGGAUCUUCAAAGAUUUGAGCAGAUUGAAAAGGUUCAACUCAGAAGAAGCUAUAGAGUACGGACUUAUCAUUGUUAGACCACCGCGCAUCAAAGACGAGGCUCCUCUCCAAGAUGAAACCUCAGGUCUCGGUUAAUCUGCUUUAUUAACAUUUUGUAAUGUCAAAGUCUUACAAGCUUGGAGUUGUUGUUCUUUGUACGAUUGUUACCAAAUAAAAUCAUUUAUGUAUAUAGAGUUAAUUAAUUAUCAUUGGAUCUUGAAACCAGUUACAAGUUCAAAAGUUUUUUUAUUUA